rnacentral:rRNA from 1 species
ACAAAGAAGAGUUUGAUCCUGGCUCAGGAUGAACGCUAGCGGCAGGCUUAACACAUGCAAGUCGAGGGGCAGCGCGGGGUAGCAAUACUCUGGCGGCGACCGGCGGAAGGGUGCGUAACGCGUGAGCAACAUGCCCGUGGCAGGGGGAUAAGCGAUGGAAACGUCGUCUAAGACCCCGUAACAACAGAGUCCGCAUGGAUUUUGUUUGAAAGCUUCGGCGGCCACGGAUUGGCUCGCGUCCCAUUAGGCAGUUGGCGGGGUAACGGCCCACCAAACCGACGAUGGGUAGGGGUUCUGAGAGGAAGGUCCCCCACAAUGGAACUGAGACACGGUCCAUACUCCUACGGGAGGCAGCAGUGAGGAAUAUUGGUCAAUGGGCGGAAGCCUGAACCAGCCAUGCCGCGUGCAGGAAUAAGGCCCUACGGGUCGUAAACUGCUUUUGUACGGGAGCAAUAAGGGCCACGUGUGGUCCGAUGAGAGUACCGUACGAAUAAGCAUCGGCUAAC